GUCCAUCUAGGUCAGCCUUCCCCACAACUAUGAGACUCUUAAUCUCAGGCUUGUGGGUUUGAACCCCAUGUUGGGCA